rfam:Neurospora crassa OR74A unplaced genomic scaffold supercont12.8, whole genome shotgun sequence.
AACUUUCAAUAACGGAUCUCUUAAUUCUAAUAUUAAUAAAGAACGCAACGAAAUACAAUAAGUAAUAUAAAUUAUAGAAUUCAAUAAAUUAUUAAAUCUUUAAAUAUAUAUUACGCUCGCUAAUAUUCUAGCGAAUAUACUUAUUUGAACGUUA